AAUGGGGGAAACCCUGACGCAGCAACGCCGCGUGAGUGAUGAAGGCCUUCGGGUUGUAAAGCUCUUUUGACGGGAACGAAAAAAAUGACGGUACCCGUUGAAUAAGCACCGGCUAACUCCGUGCCAGCAGCCGCGGUAAUACGGAGGGUGCAAGCGUUAUUCGGAUUUACUGGGCGUAAAGCGCGUGUAGGCGGUUUGGUAAGUUUGGUGUGAAAUCCCCGGACUUAAUUCGGGAAGUGCAUUGAAUACUGCCAGACUGGAGUACAGGAGAGGAGAGUGGAAUUCCUGGUGUAGAGGUGAAAUUCGUAGAUAUCAGGAGGAACAACAGAAGCGAAGGCGACUCUCUGGACUGUCACUGACGCUAAGGCGCGAAAGCGUGGGGAGCAAA
rnacentral:rRNA from 1 species